rnacentral:rRNA from 1 species
GACGAACGCUGGCGGCGUGCCUAAUACAUGCAAGUAGAACGCUGAAGGAGGAGCUUGCUUCUCUGGAUGAGAUGCGAACGGGUGAGUAACGCGUAGGUAACCUGCCUGGUAGCGGGGGAUAACUAUUGGAAACGAUAGCUAAUACCGCAUAAGAGUAGAUGUUGCAUGACAUUUGCUUAAAAGGUGCAAUUGCAUCACUACCAGAUGGACCUGCGUUGUAUUAGCUAGUUGGUGGGGUAACGGCUCACCAAGGCGACGAUACAUAGCCGACCUGAGAGGGUGAUCGGCCACACUGGGACUGAGACACGGCCCAGACUCCUACGGGAGGCAGCAGUAGGGAAUCUUCGGCAAUGGACGGAAGUCUGACCGAGCAACGCCGCGUGAGUGAAGAAGGUUUUCGGAUCGUAAAGCUCUGUUGUAAGAGAAGAACGAGUGUGAGAGUGGAAAGUUCACACUGUGACGGUAUCUUACCAGAAAGGGACGGCUAACUACGUG